UACGUAGGGUGCGAGCGUUGUCCGGAAUUACUGGGCGUAAAGAGCUCGUAGGUGGUUUGUCGCGUUGUCCGUGAAAACUCACAACUCAAUUGUGGGCGUGCGGGCGAUACGGGGCAGACUGGAGUACUGCAGGGGAGACUGGAAUUCCUGGUGUAGCGGUGGAAUGCGCAGAGUAUCAGGAGGACACCGGUGGCGAAGGCGGGAUCUCUGGG
rnacentral:rRNA from 1 species